UACGUAGGUGGCAAGCGUUGUCCGGAUUUACUGGGCGUAAAGGGCGUGCAGGCGGUUUGUUAAGUGCAGGGUGAAAGCUCCCGGCUCAACUGGGAGAGGUCCUUGCAUACUGGCGGACUUGAGGGGGGUAGAGGAAAGUGGAAUUCCCGGUGUAGUGGUGAUAUGCGUAGAUAUCGGGAGGAACACCUGUGGCGAAGGCGGCUUUCUGGGCCCUACCUGACGCUGAGACGCGAAAGCGUGGGGAGCGAACCGG
rnacentral:rRNA from 1 species